GCCAGCAUGGUGUAGUGGUUUGAGUAUUGGGGCUAUGAUCCUGAAGACCAGGGUUCAAAUCCCUGCUCAGCCA